UUAAACUGACGAAGCCCCAUCACCCGGCCCAGGAUCUCAGCGAGUCAAGACUAUUCCGUCCCCCUGGGUUGGUCAGGACUGGAGAGUGGUCUGCUGUGGUCACCCAGGGGGGCAGUUGGUGGAAUAUUCAUGGUCAGGGAAGUGACCAAUGUCCAGCAGGGUCAGGCCCCUGGGGACAAAGUGUGCACCUGACCCGGAAUCUGGAGAGGGACAGAAACCUGGCUGCUCGUGGGCCAGCAGAGGAGCUUCCAUGGAUGGGAACAGUCACCAUCAGCCUGGGGAGAAGUGACUCAUACAACAGGGCAGGCCACGUCCCAGGGCUGGGCCCCCUCCCUGUCACCCCAGGCCAGGCCUCCUUCAGAGCAGACUGGGGACAGGCUGGGCUGGGAAGAGGAAGGAGGAGGAGUUCUGAGCACGGGGAUUAGGGCUGAUCCUGGGAUCGGGGCUGUGAGGUGGGGAGGAGCUCCUGUCCCCUGGGGAGUGAGAAGUCACCCACUCAUGGCUGAUGCUGGAGAUCAUGGUCUGAGCCUUGACUCUGGUUUCCUUCUGGUGGCCAGGUGAAGGUGCCAUGGGGGCCCUGGCCUGUCUGGGAGGACCCUCUGUGCUGAGCUCAAGUUCAGCUGAAAGUGCCCUCACCCUGCUAUGACCCAGAGGGACCCUGGGAGAGUGACUGCAGGGCCGAGAACUCACCUGGGCACCUCCCAGUUCUGACUUGGGACUACAAGGCCACCCUGUGCACAUGACACCACCUCUCUGUGCCUCUGUUUGGAGAAAGACAGGAAAUACAGAAAACGCCAUCACUGGUAUCCUCUAUUUCAAAUGGAAGAAAAACCGACACAACUGGGAUUCAAAACACCCAACACCAGGAACUCCAGUGAUCAAGAAAAGCAGAGGCUGAGAUUCAAGAAUAAGAGCACUCACGGGCUAUAGGGCCCGGUGUUCACAAAGGUCCCUGCGCAGGCUGGUUGCCCGGCGUCCUGGAAGGGCUCAUGCAUCUGUUAAUGGAUCGUGACAGCAGUGGUCAGUCUGUCCUGCAGUCUUGGCAGCGGCUCAGCAGCCUGGUGUAGACAGGGGGGAGCACCGCUCCCUCAUCCAGAGGUGACGUUUUGCAGCAAGAUAGAUGUACCUAGAAGGAGUUCUCAAAUGUGUCAGUCCGCAAGGGCCCCGGAUGUAUUAUGGCCACCAAGAGAUUCCCUCCUAGAGAACAGGAGCUGACGCGAGAGCAAAGAAUAAAUACGGAGACAUGA